GCACAAGCGGUGGAUGAUGUGGAUUAAUUCGAUGCAACGCGAAAACCUUACCUACCCUUGACAUGUCCGGAAUCCCGAAGAGAUUUGGGAGUGCUCGCAAGAGAACCGGAACACAGGUGCUGCAUGGCUGUCGUCAGCUCGUGUCGUGAGAUGUUGGGUUAAGUCCCGCAACGAGCGCAACCCUUGUCAUUAGUUGCCAUCAUUUGGUUGGGCACUCUAAAGAGACUGCCGGUGUCAAACCGGAGGAAGGUGGGGAUGACGUCAAGUCCUCAUGGCCUUUAUGACCAGGGCUACACACGUACUACAAUGGCCGGUACAAAGGGCAGCGACACAGCGAUGUGAAGCCAAUCCCGAAAAGCCGGUCUCAGUCCGGAUUGGAGUCUGCAACUCGACUCCAUGAAGUUGGAAUCGCUAGUAAUCGCGGAUCAGCACGCCGCGGUGAAUACGUUCCCGGGCCUU
rnacentral:rRNA from 1 species